UGCAUGCCUCAGUACCUGCUUAUAUAUGGUGAAACCGCGAAUGGCUCAUUAAAUCAGCUAUGGUUCCUUGGAUCAUAAUACUACUACACGGAUAACUGUAGUAAUUCUAGAGCUAAUACGUGCCUUGAUGCCCUGAUCCGCAAGGUGAGGGGUGCAUUUGUUAGAUCGCAAACCAAACGGCCUCGGUCGUAGGUUGUGAUGACUCUGGAUAAUUUUGUAUGAUCGCAGCUGGCCUUGUUGUCGGCGAUGGAUCCAUCAAAUAUCUGCCCUAUCAACUUUCGAUGGUAGGUGACAUGCCUACCAUGGUUAUGACGGGUAACGGGGAAUCAGGGUUCGAUUCCGGAGAGGGAGCCUGAGAAACGGCUACCACAUCCAAGGAAGGCAGCAGGCGCGCAAAUUACCCACUCUCUGAACGAGGAGGUAGUGAAGACAAAUAUCGAUACAGAACUCAUUAGAGGCUCUGUAAUCGAAAUGAGUGCAUUUUAAAUCCUACAACAAGGAUCUAUUGGAGGGCAAGUCUGGUGCCAGCAGCCGCGGUAACUCCAGCUCCAAUGGCAUAUAUUAAAGUUGUUGCAGUUAAAAAGCUCGUAGUUGGAUCUGGGCUGCGUUGCGAAUGCUGGCCGCGCUGAGCAUGCACUUGUGUGUGUUCACCGGCUGGUAUAUUCGGACCGGCCUCGUAGCUGUGUCCUUUUGCCUUCACGGGUGAUUGGAUGAUGGUGAGCGUCUGCGGUGGCUCCUUUCGGGGGGCCGUUGCGGUUUGCCAUUAUGUUCCGUUAAUGCCCUUAACCGGGUGUUCGGAACUCACAGCACGUUUACUUUGAACAAAUUUGAGUGCUCAAAGCAGGCCAUUGUUGCCUGAAAAUUCUUGCAUGGAAUAAUGAAAUAGGACUUUGGUCCUAUUUUGUUGGUUUGAUAGAACCAAAGUAAUGAUAAAGAGAGACAGACGGGGGCAUUUGUAUGGCGGCGCUAGAGGUGAAAUUCGUGGACCGUCGCCAGACAACUAAAGCGAAAGCAUCUGCCAAGUAUGUUUUCAUUUACCAGGAGCGAAAGUCAGAGGUUCGAAGACGAUCAGAUACCGUCCUAGUUCUGACCAUAAACGAUGCCAACUGACGAUCCGUGGUUGCUCUUUAAUGAGGCCACGGGCAGUCUCUGGGAAACCUGUAAGUCUAUGGGUUCCGGGGAAAGUAUGGUUGCAAAACUGAAACUUAAAGGAAUUGACGGAAGGGCACCACCAGGAGUGGAGCUUGCGGCUUAAUUUGACUCAACACGGGGAAACUCACCCGACCCGGACACUUAGAGGAUUGACGGAUUGAUAGCUCUUUCUUGAUUGAGUGAAUAGUGGUGCAUGGCCGUUCUUAGUUCGUGGUACGAGCUGUCUGGUUAAUUCCGAUAACGAACGAGACUCUAACCUGCUAAAUAGAACGGUUGCAAUCUUUAUGNCGGACCACCGUUUUGAUGCUCCGGUGUUGGAACGGUACCGCAUAGGCAGGUGAAACUUCUUAGAGGAACUGGCGCUCGAAAAGGCGCACGAGAAAGAGCAAUAACAGGUCUGUGAUGCCCUAAGAUGUCCGGGGCCGCACGCGUGCUACAAUGACGAUGUUCCUGAGCAUGAUUAACUUGUCUGUAAAGGCCGGUGAAACUGUUCAAUUAUCGUCGUGCCUGGGAUUGGGGUUUGCAAUUAUUCCCCAUGAACCAGGAAUUCCUAGUAAGCACAAGUCACUAGCUUGUGCUGACUACGUCCCUGCCCUUUGUACACACCGCCCGUCGCUACUACCGAUUGAAUGGUUUAGCAAGGCCAUUGGAUUGAGUACUUGCGGUUCACGCUGCUUGUAUUCGAGAAGAUGGCCGAACUUGAUCAUUUAGAGGAAGUAAAAGUCGUAACAAGGUUUCCGUAGUGAACCUGCGGAAGGAUCAUUAAGAAUUUCCUACUAAUGUUGUUCUCGAACCCUCCAAGGAGGGCGGGGACUUCCUGUCCGUUUGUCGUGGGUGUAUGCCCUCCGCGGACGAUUGCGAUACAGAAGUGGGUUGUGCAGUUUCCGGGGUAACACUCUUACGCCGGGAAUGAAGUGCAUCCCACCUUCGUUCACACAGGCAUUGCUAGCAUGUGGUCACGUACGGUGGUGGUAAGUCGUGCAUGGUUCGUGUGUUGGCUCUUUGUCCGGGUCUGUUGUGAACGGAUGUUACCACUUGUUCUCCCUUCGGGUGAGUAGUUUGCGUUUUAAAUCCUAUUCUCUUGUGUUGGCCUGGAACGGGGGCUGGCGGUAGUUGCCGAAGCGUGGCUUUCUCUCUUCGUGUUCGUGUUCGUGUUCGUGUUCGCACUCGUUCACUGGGGAGUUUGACAUGUGUAGGCCUUUGUCUACCAAUUUCGGCCUAGGGAAGGGCUAACACAACUGACACGGCCCCUGCGGCAAUGUCAACCCUUUACAACUGCAAUUGGUGGAUCACUCGGCUCGUGUGUCGAUGAAGAGUGCAGCAAACUGUGUGAACUGAUGUGAAUCGCAGACUGCUCCGAUCAUCGACUCCUUGAACGCAAAUGGCGGUCAUGGGCUUGUCCCAUGGCCACGUUUGACUGAGAGUUGGCUUAUAAACUAUCGCAACGUUCGAAUGGUUGCGGAUUGAGUUGUAUGCCGUUCACCGUGAUUUUGCCAUGGCCUCGUUGCCUUGGCUCGGUGCUUGUAGGCUCAACUCCAAUUGUCCUUUCUUUCCUUCUGCUUUGUGCUUGUCACGGAUCGCUCUGUUGCCGUGGGUCCAACCUGCCUAUUUUCUCGGCCUUGAACCGUGUCGGUGUGGCUUAAGUGUAACGCUGACUGGAACGAGUGUCGAAUGUUGGAUUUCCACCGCGAUUCCUGUACGAGUCACUAAGGCUAUUGCUAUUUUGUUGCCCGACCUCAGUUCAAUCGUGAAUACCCGCUGAACUUAAGCAUAUCAGUAAGCGGAGGAAGAGAAACUAACCAGGAUUCUCCUAGUAACGGCGAGUGAACGGAGAUUAGCCCAUCACCGAAGUCUAUUCACUCUUGUGAACAGGACAAUGUGGUGUUCGGGCAUGCGCCUGGGAUCGUAUGCUUGCUUGAAGUCCAACUCCGAUUGCGGCAUUGGAUAUUGUCCAGAGCGGGUGAAAGGCCCGUACAAGCAAGUUGUUUUGUCUAUACGAUUUCCGGAUGCGUGUGCUUUCGAGUCGGAUUGCUUGAGAAUGCAGUCCAAAGAGGGUGGUAAACUCCAUCCAAGGCUAAAUACUGGCACGAGUCCGAUAGUAGACAAGUACCGUGAGGGAAAGUUGAAAAGUACUCUGAAGAGAGAGUAAAUAGUACGUGAAACCGGUUGCAGAGAAUCAGGUGGAGUCAAGCUUCAUGCUUGGAAGAUUGUCUUUCGAUCCUAUCCUGUGUCAGGACGUGGGGUUUGGCAACUUGGAAUAAGUUGGGCGCACUUGUUGCGUUUCAAGUCAUUCUGGGAAGCCUGAUUGUCCAUCCCCUAUCUCCUCGGUCGGAUGCUGUAUCUUCCUGUGCAUAGGUCACGGCUCAUAGCCUACGUGUGUUGUGAUGGCCUAACAGCGUCUGUGCCGGCUUCGGCCGGUCGGAUGUUGAAUGGAAGGUAAUUCCCUGUUUCGUUUAUUCGUGGGGAUUUAUCCUGAUUUCGAUCAGCUGGCCAUCAUGAUUACGCAUCAAGGCUAUGGUUUGAAAUGUUUUCAGUGGUACGGUCCAGGUGACUGUUCCUUCUCAAACCGGGACUCUGAGGUAGA
rnacentral:rRNA from 1 species